UACGGAGGGUGCAAGCGUUAAUCGGAAUUACUGGGCGUAAAGCGUGCGUAGGCGGCUUGGUAAGCCGGUUGUGAAAGCCCCGGGCUCAACCUGGGAACGGCAUCCGGAACUGUCAGGCUAGAGUGCAGGAGAGGAAGGUAGAAUUCCCGGUGUAGCGGUGAAAUGCGUAGAGAUCGGGAGGAAUACCAGUGGCGAAGGCGGCCUUCUGGACUGACACUGACGCUGAGGUACGAAAGCGUGGGUAGCAAACAGG
rnacentral:rRNA from 1 species